GUCUGAUGGUCAUGUUCAACCGAGACCAAGCAGCUCUUCUCUCCAUUCAACUAUUAGUUAUGUGCCAAGUCUUUGCAGAGAUUGAUCCAGUUGAGCACAGGGAUGAGCUGGUGUCCAGGGGAGACUCCGUCAUCUUCACCUGCAACAUAUCCGAGAGAAAUGUAACGCAAAUCAAAUGGACCAGAGGCAGAUCUGUUUUUGUGUUUUCAAUCUUACUUAAUAAUACUUUUUCAAAUUUCACUUCUCACAAAAUAACAAUAGACAAAAGCUUACCUUCAAAGAUGAAUAUUGCUAAUGUUCAGCAUGACGAUGCAGGAACCUACAGAUGUUUUUUAAAUGGCAUAGAACGUACAAGGGCUAUUGAGUGGAAUUUAAAUGUGACUGUGGAACACGAAGAAAUCAGUCCACUGUGGUAUUCUCUAUACAUCACAGCUGCAAUUGGAUUUCUUCUAUGUGUAAUCACUACAGCUGUCUGCCUCUACAGGUGAGUAAUCAUUUAGUGCCGCGUGUGGAAGUUAUAGUCAUUGUCGUAGUAAUUCGUAAUCAUCAUUACAAAAGUUACAUAUUCUAUGUGCUUUAUUCAUAGACUCUAUAUAGCUAUAUUUUAAAGCAGUGUAAAAAAAAGAAAUGUGCCUUUUCUUAAUCUUUGCGGACAACGGCUUCCUCCACCCUCCCCCAUCUGUGGUCAUCGUGUGAUCGUGUGGCAGUUACAUCGUUCGACAUUUCUGUAUCUUCUAUUCACUGAAUUUGUUUCACACUCUACGAUAUUGUCCAUUAUCUUCUUUCUAGUAAAAAAAAAAAAAGUUGCCGUUGAAUCAUGGGAAUUUAAAUGAUGUCGAUGGAUUAUUGCAGAAACCCUUUUGACAGCCGCCAUUUUGACUUGUCAAAGCAGGAAAAGAAAAGAUUUAACAAACAUUAAGGAUAGCUCUAUUCCCUCAAGUGGCCCAGUAGGCCUUGGUAGUGAGUGAACAUGCACAAUAUACAGAACCCUGGAGCUGGCUAACCUAAAUGGAACGUAGCCAUCAAUCAUGCUUCCACCUGUGCUUUUCCUGCUUUAACAAGUCAAAAUGGCUGCUGUGAAAAGGGUCUAUUCUUGUCACCAUCACAAAAAAAAGAAAUAAUAAAUAUUAGCUGAGUUUAGUCAUAACUUAGCAUAAAGUUUCUCAUUUCAACAAAAAGCUUUACAAGUUGUUUUCAUGUUGCUGGAGCUGCAGGUACACCGAGCAUUCGGGGUGACCCUGGUUUGAAUCAGGAGCAUUGAGAAUGCUGAAUACGGUUCCUUAUUUAGCAAAUGAAAGAGUGGUCUUCCUCUUUGCGUUAAUCUUAGCACAUGAGUCUGCACACAAAUCUGGCAACCUUAACUGUCUCAAUGGGAUUAUUUUAUCCAUAUUUUAUAAUAUUUAUUUUUUAUAAUAUUGUAUUCAUACUUUAUAAUAUUUUAUCAAUAUUUUAGCCACAGAAUUUUACAGUUGUUUACAUCUAAACAACAAUGUUGGUAGAUUGGCCUUCUGAAUGAAAACGAAAAGAAAGGGUAAGAGGGCAGAAAGGUCUGGCAUUUUAGCAACUAAUGCUGCAGAAGACUGGGCAAGACAAAGAGAAGGAAACAAAGAGAAGAGCAAAGUCAGAGGCAGAAGAGCCUGGAAGGAGAGACAGAGGGCGACAAACUCACCGAGGACAAGAGAUCAGGAAAUUAGAGUAAGAAAAUGAUGAGAUGGAGAAGAAUUGAAUGUGAGGGAUGAAGAAGAGAGGGAGAAAAUCAAAGAAAUCAGAGAGACGAACAGAAACAGAAUGUGAUGGAAAGAGGUGGGGAGUAAAAUAACAAAUGUGUAGCUGUUGUAGUUAUCGCUAACAUGCACUGGUAGAAUGUGUCUUCAUUUUUAUUUUUCCCCCUUAAUGCUAAUCUAUACUUUUAUUCCACUGAAUUCGAAAGAGAAAUGUAGCUUUUACUGCUCUUUGUUUAUUUGACAGUUUUACUUACAUUUCAGAUUAAGAUUUCACAGAGAAAACAUGGAUAAGUUUAUAAAAUACAAUGCAAUGUUAAAAAUGUAACCAGUGGGUCCUAACAUCUCAGGUUUGUGACCCCUCAAAAGACCAUUCUCUAGUUGGGCCACUUAAAAUGUCCAAAAGAUGAUUUUGCACAGAUUUGUGCAAAAUCAUUUUGUCCUAAUAAUAAUCUCACAGACCCUAAUAUAUAGGAGGGGCCUAUUUUAGGAACCACUGGACUAAACUAUGAAUUUAAACUAGUCCAAAUAGACUUCACCUACACCAGCAACAGUAAAAUGUACAUUGAUGCAUCAGUAUUAAUCAGAGCUGAAAUAAUAAGUGAAUUAAUCAAUUAGUCGAUCACUAGAAAUUGAUAAUCCAUUAAUUGUUUUCAUCCAGUAAAUCAUCUUUCAAGCAAAAAUGUCAACAUUUUGUUUCCAACUUUUCAGUUGUAAAGUUUUACUGCCGCAUCUUAUUCUUGUUAGACUGUUUAGAACAUUUAAAUAUUACAAAAUUAGAGCAUUGUGAUGGUUUUUUUUCAUAUUUUCUGAUAUUUUAUAGAUUAAAAUAAAAGUGUUCAAGACAAUAAUUGUCAGAUGAAUCAAUCAUGAAAAUAAUUAGUUGUAGCCGUAUACUAAUAUUGUUACAUGAUACUCACUACUCAGUACUUAAAGUACUACAUUGAGCUGAUGUACUUUUAUUGACAGGUUUUUAUAUGCGUGACAUGGAGUACUGUGGUAUUGGUCACUAUACUUUUAUGGAUUAGAUCCUUUACUUAGCUAAAAGUACCAAUCUUAGCAUCAACUCUGUCUCAUAUAAUAUGUCUGAAACAACUGGAAGCUGCACUGUUGUCUCAUCACUGGUCUCAAUUUUAUUUCGGCAUCAAAAAGCCGGACCAACAUCCCAAACCAGGACCAGGACAGCAAGACCCUGAGUUAUGUCCAGUAUAGUGUUCAGUUGGGAAAAGAGGUCAGAAGAACUUUUUCAUUACUCAAACUAUUACAUCCUAAUGUCUCAAAAAGCAUUUCUUUGCAAUCUCCCCCAUUUCCCUCCCAUCCGCUCUUUUGUUUCUUGGAGUAACAGUGAGUUUAUUUCCACUUUCUGUCCCUACAGGUGGCUCCCCUCCAGCCAAACAGCUGUGCAGAAUACAGGACGAAUCCCAAGCAAGUCGGUACUUCAAGAGGCUCAAUGCAAUCUCUGGCCUGUUCAGCAUGAAGUUCAGUGUAAAGCCAAAUAGGAAACAAGAGAUGUUGGAAAGAGAAACACAAUUCAUCCACACAAAACGUCAACUUUAGAAAUACUGAGGUUAUGAGUCCAAAUUCCCUCGGUCCAUCCCUAUGUGAAGCUUUUCACUAACCUGGUCAUUUGAUGAGUAAUGUUUAACUAUGUAGAAUAUAAGAAACAUUACAAAUAAAGCAACAAAAGGAUACAAAUGCUGGUCAGUCAGUUUCCCUCAAGCAAUGGAAGGCAGAAACAAACUGUCCCUCAAGAUCACACCCUCCUCCCUCGGACAAUGUUUAGUUCACACAAUCUGAACAAUGAAGAAAAUGUUCCUCCUCUGCAACUUUGGCAGAUUCGCUCCUUGUUUGUCAGCAAUGUUUUCUAGCCGGGUAGAGUGGUCGGUGGGAACAUGGGGACAGUUUUAGCUAUAGUCAGAAAGAAGUAUGGUAUACAAUUUGAUUUUUGACUCGGUUUUAUUUUUCUCAAAGAAAUCUGUAAACAGGAGACAUUGUAAAUAGAAGGUGUUCAAGUUUAGACAGCAAAUGUUUCAAUUAAAAUGAUAUUUUGGAAGCCCAGAACAUGGUGUCCCAACCGUCCAGAAUAGGCAGAAUUAUGGGGAAAUGCACUCCUUGUAUAUUUAAUAAAAUUGUGCCUUUUACGUUUGGGUUGGGCUCUAACGAACUCAAUAAAUUGUUAGCAAACACCUGAAUCUGUUCAGUGAGCAAAUUAUUUUCAUUACUAUUUAAGGUCAUUUGGUGUCCAUACAAAACCAACCCCGCUCUCCCCUACCUGCGUGUUUCUAUGGUCAAGCUGUGUGCACUGAGUCUUCUUGGUUAAUGUUAUUCUGGUAAACACCAGUAAAUACUGGCAUCAGGGAAGUUGCGGUAUGUGAAUAAACCAUGAGCACUAGCUGAGUAAGAUGACUUUUCACUACAGCUAUAAAUAUGGGUCACUUUGAGAAGACAGUAUUUAAUUUAGUUUGAUUGCUUUUGGACUUGUAUUAAUAAUGGACAAAAGCCUUUUUCAGCUCUGCAGGCAAGACCAUUCUGUGGACCUGUAUGAUGUUUUUACAAAAUUCAGUUUGAACGUUUUAAUUUGAAUCAUUGAUCAAAUAUUUGGAUUUGAUUCUCGGCCCUACAAUAGGUUCAAAAUGGCAAACAAGGCCUUGAAAAUAUAUGCAAAAAUAAAAUCAUAUGCACUGAUUUUUCAGUACUUUCAAAUGGCCUUUUUACUUUUGUUAUGAUGUUCAUUGAACACAGCAAUAUAUUAUGUAAUUAUCACAACCUGACGUAUAUAAUCUAAAAUGAUACAAAUUACAUAUUUAAAUUAGUUUACCAGUAUGGAAAUGUGAAAUAUCAUCAAUGUAAACAUAUAACUGAAAAUGACCUUAUAAGAAUAAGGUUUUUGCAAAGGCAUUGCUUUAGGUUACUGACUAAUCUAAAAAACUAAUUUCUUCAUCACUACAAAUGAUCCUGCUGAGGAGACAGAGAGGGAAACUGAGGACCCCCAUAGCAAUGACUGCCACUGUGAUAACGUCCCACAGUUGCAUUAUCAUUGCUUUUCAAACAGUUUAUAUGAUGGGACAAUAUGCAAAGUCACGUGACGUGAAAAAUAGAUUGGGAAGAAGUAGGGUAAGUUUUGCAGGGUCUUUGUUUGGCCCGUAUCAUGACAUCAGUAGCUGCACUUUCUCUGUCUGCUGGCACUGCUCCCAUAACCCUGUUAUGAUGAAUAGAAGGCUGUUCAGAUAUGUCUGUCCCAUUCUCAAUCAGGCCAACGUUAGCUGUUCCUCCCUCCCUUUACUGUAGGCUACUACCCACUCUGCUUUGUAAGGAAUAAAGGUGUCUCCUGUUCAUCUCCUGCUCCCAAUACUGUUGCCAGACCUGGUUUAUUUUUUUCAAACAAUACAUCAUGGACUGUAAAU